rnacentral:rRNA from 1 species
UACGGGAGACUGCGUAGCGUUAGCUCGGAUUCACUGGGCGUAAAGGGUGCGCAGGCGGUUAAUUGUGUCAGGUGUGAAAUCCCGGAGCUCAACUCCGGAAACUGCGCCUGAAACUAGUUGACUAGAGACUCGGAGAGGUAAGUGGAAUUCCAGGUGUAGCGGUGAAAUGCGUAGAUAUCGUGGAAGGAACACCGGUGGCGAAGGCGGAUCUCUGGGCCUUAUCUGACGCUCAGGCGCG